CAAACACAACAGAGGAGGGCAUCAGAUUCCAUUACAGAUGGUUGUGAGCCACCAUGUGGUUGUUGGGAAUUGAAUUGAGGACCUCUGGAAGAGCAGCCAGUACUCUUAUCUGCUGAGCCAUCUCUCCAGCCCAGUGAAUUAUUUGAAAAAAAAAAAAAAGAAAAAGAAAAGGCCACAAAGUUGAGGGCUAAGGGUGUCAGAAUGGAUCUGGGAGGAGUAUGUGGAGAAUAUGCCCAGAUUGCAUUGUAUGAAAAUUUCAAAGAAUUAAUGUUUUUCAGAGACAAAGCAUUCGUGGAAACAAAAAUAAGCAGGGCUUAAGCUAUUCACAAAAAAGAACAGUUAUCAUUUUACAGGAUUAUGACACAACUUCCUUAUUAUACCCAUGUUCAGGUCCAUCUUUGUAAUGGUUAGAAAGAUCAUACCAUGAAGCAGCUUCCUGAAUGCGGAGAAAGAAGGGCGCUACCAGUCAUUUGGGAAAUAUGUUAGUGGAAUCUCCAGACCAUCAGUAAGUUACAGAGUUUAGGAGAAAGAUAGGACGUUUGAGUUCCUAGGCCUAUAUGAGGAAACCAAGGGGCACAGGGAUAGUUCACCUUCUGGGGAGUACUCUUAAUAGUUCUUGUGGGUUCAGAUCUGCACGACAGAGGAUUCAUUUGGGUAAGUCUUCUCUGGGGAGGGGUUAUUACUAGAUGGACUAUGGACUCCGUUUACCUGUGUAAAUUGCUGGUUGAGUCACUCCUCACAGCAAGGUCCUAGAAACAAUACACCUCAUUUGUCAUUUAUAAAUUUACUCAACAGACCUUACACAUCAAGAGUUGAAGCAUUAGGGAUACACAUAAUGAAAAGAAGACAGUGUAAGUGACGACGGGAGACCCGUAAAGGUGCUCAUGUGAAAGUGCUAACAGUAUGCCAAGUGUUAACAGCAAUGGAAGGGAGGAGCUAUGCUGACUCUGGCCCAGUGCACCACGAUUGAUCAGCUAGCUGAAAACAAACUGCUGAAUUGAAGAUGUUUUUUCUUUAUUGGAUGAAGAUGGAGAUGGCUAUGAGAACAUGACAGCAAAGGAAUUUGGCCCUCCCAUAUGGUCACUGGCAAUACUCAAAUUUCAGGAUAUGACCAAUGAACUGGUCACCAUUGACAUACCAGAAUUUUUACUUUGAUGGAAAGAAAAAAUAAAAGAAAACAAAAAAGGUGGAAGAAGAGGAGGAAGAGGAGGAGGAGGAGAAAGAAGAAGAAAGAAGAAAGGCUGUACCAUACAUGUUUUCUGCUUCAGUUCUUGCCUCUAUGCUUUGAGUUCUUGCCUUGGUGCCCCUCAGUGAUUGACUGUUAGGUGUGAGCCAAAAGAACUCUGCUUUUCCUGAGCUAGUUAUAGUUAGGUUUUUAUCAUAGGAACAGAAAACAAACUAGGGCAGUGUGCAUUUGAAAAUGUUUUCAUCUUGAAAGUGGUGUCAAAAAACAUUAAAACUUGAGGUGAGACAGGGUCUCUGGCUAGGGAUCAUACAAUUCAGGAUGGAACUAGGGCUCUGGCUCCAUUGGUUUAUUUUAGGACUUUAGCGAUCCCAGAGUUUACCUCAGUUCCUGGUCUUUGGCUCCAGUGGUCCCAGAGAUCACCUUGGGAUCUGGCCUUUGAUCUGAGCAUUUACCUUAGGACUCAAAUUUUGUCUACAGUGGUCUCAGAGUCUAUCUUAGAAAAGUACCUGCAGCUCCAGGGAUCCCAGAUGUCAGUAC
ensembl:lncRNA